UUAAAACAGAAAAAUAACUAAUCAAUCUCUCCAUCCUCUCCAUUCUCUCCACUCUCCAGUUAAAUAAUAACAAAUAAAAUAAAUUUUAAAAUUAAAAAAUUAUUUUAUUAAUUUUUGAAAUUAUAAAAUGUCCAAAUAACCAAAAUAAAUUAAUACAAUAAAUUAUUAAGUAAGGAUAAAAUGGAAAAAAAAUUAAGAGCAGUUAAGAGGGGAAUAAGAAAUGACACAAUGACCAUAAUACAAUAAUAAAAUUAAAUAUUAAUAUAAGAAUAAAAUAGGAAAAAAAAUUAAGAGCAGUUAAGAGGGGAAUCCC
rnacentral:lncRNA from 1 species